rnacentral:SRP_RNA from 1 species
GGGUGGGUCCGGCGCGGCAGAGACCUUCGAACCCCGCCAGGGUCGGAAGACAGCAACGGUAAGGAGUCAUCUCUGGGUGCCGCCGGGGAGCCUGCCCAAG